AGGAGGAACAACCCCAGUGGUGGGGCCAGCUCUGGAGCCCUGCAUUCAGCUCCCAGAGUAGCUCCGGAGCUCUGUCUGCAGGGCCUGGAGGCUCCAGUGCGGU
rfam:Canis lupus familiaris chromosome 33, whole genome shotgun sequence.